rnacentral:rRNA from 1 species
AUACCGCGUGUGUGAAGAAGGCCUUAGGGUUGUAAAGCACUUUCAAUUGGAAGGAAAAACUCAUGGCCAAUACCCGUGAGCUUGACAUUACCUUUAGAAGAAGCACCGGCUAACUCCGUGCCAGCAGCCGCGGUAAUACGGAGGGUGUAAGCGUUAAUCGGAAUUACUGGGCGUAAAGCGUGCGUAGGCGGCUCGCUAAGUCAGAUGUGAAAGCCCCGGGCUCAACCUGGGAACGGCAUUUGAAACUGGCAAGCUAGAGUUUAGGAGAGGAGAGUGGAAUUUCAGGUGUAGCGGUGAAAUGCGUAGAGAUCUGAAGGAACACCAGUGGCGAAGGCGACUCUCUGGCCUAGAACUGACGCUGAGGUACGAAAGCGUGGGUAGCAAACAGGAUUAGAUACCCUGGUAGUCCACGCCGUAAACGAUGUCAACUAGCCGUUGGCUCUCUUAGAGAGUUAGUGGCGCAGCUAACGCAUUACGUUGACCGGCUGGGGAGUACGGGCG